rnacentral:rRNA from 1 species
GAGUUUGAUCUUGGCUCAGGAUAAACGCUGGCGGCGCACAUAAGACAUGCAAGUCGAACGGACUUAACCAUUAGUUUACUAUUGGAGCGGUUAGUGGCGGACUGGUGAGUAACACGUAAGCAACCUGCCUAUCAGAGGGGAACAACAGUUAGAAAUGACUGCUAAUACCGCAUAUGCCUUAAGCAUCACAUGGUGCUAGAGGGAAAGGACAAUCCGCUGAUAGAUGGGCUUGCGUCUGAUUAGCUAGUUGGUGGGGUAAUGGCCUACCAAGGCGACGAUCAGUAGCCGAACUGAGAGGUUGAACGGCCACAUUGGGACUGAGAUACGGCCCAGACUCCUACGGGAGGCAGCAGUCGGGAAU